GGCUGGUCCAAUGGUAGUGGGUUAUCCAAAACUUACUAACAUUAGUGUUGCUAAAGUUGGUAUACAACCCCCCACGGCUAAAUUUGGCUUUAA
rnacentral:Y_RNA from 1 species